GGGCCCUAAUCCCAAAUGACUGGUGUCCUUAUAGAAAGCAAAAGAGACACCAGGGAUGUAUGCACAGAGAAAGGUCAUGUGAGGAUGCUAUGAGGACGUAGUUUACUGCAAGGAAAGAGGUCUUAGGAGAAAUCAACCCUCCUGGCACCUGCCCUUGGACUUGCAGCCCCCAGAAUGGUCUUUGCUGUUGAAUGGAGAAGAUGCCGUAGGAGAACAAGAAUGGAAACAUAGAGACCAAUUAGGAAGCUGUUGGUCCAGGGAAGAAAGGAUGAGGAUUUGAACUUGGUAUGACCUGAAUGAGAGCAGUAGUAGUGGAAGCAGUCAUUUCUUUGUAGCCCUGUAUCAUAUUCCACUGGCUGUACCAUAGCUUGUUACCUGUUUAUCUACUGAAGGGCAUCUUCGUUGCUUCCGAAUCUUGGAAAUUACAAAUAAAGCUGCUAUGUAAAUUCAUGCACAGCUGAGGCUACUGGCCUUCUUGUUUGCAGCCCGAACUGAAUCAGAAGCCACUGGAAUAUUUGGAUGAGGCGGGCCCAGAAACCCAAGAAUCUCUUCUCGUCAGUGCCACCCCGUGGGUUAGCCCCGCCUGCUUGCGUUUUAGGAGGCUACGUCAGCUGGUGCAGACGUGCUUCAUAGAACGUGUGCCAAAUCUCCUAAGCGACUAGUUCCAUCACUCAAGGCUGACCAAAGAUUCCCGUCCUUUUCAAACUCUUGUGCUUCUCCCCUCCUCCCACGGAAUUUAUUUUCCUGCUGACCUACCAGGGAUGCAGGCAAUGUCUUUGUCUCCCUUACUGUGCGGUUUUUCAUCCU